ACGUUCUUCCCAUCUGAACUGAUCUGCAGAUUCAUUUAUCAAGGUUUUAACUAAAUCCAUGCGAUUAGAUUCUAUAGUGAUCAGAUUUGGAGAGCUUCAAGUACGACUGGGGUUUUAGCUUGAGAUGCCGAGGAGACCUUCACUGAUUUAGCAGUAACAAUCGCUCCCUUGUAAUCUCGACAUAUACCAGCUAUGGCGCCAUCCACAGAACCAUCAAUAAAGGAAGUAUCAACAUUAAUUUUCAGAGCUUUCUUCCUAGGUGUCGCCCAGGCCUUCAACUCAGUAAAGGUAGGAUUUUUCCUCAAUUCCGGUUUUUGAGAGUUCCAUUUUCUGUAGUUUGCUUGCGAGAAUAACGAUGAUUCAACCGUUUCUUGCGAGUUUGGAUGUUUACCCUGAAAAACGAAAUUGUUUUGGGCUUUCCAAAUGCUCCAUAAAGAGGACGCCACCAAAGACACAGGAAAAAUCAGCUCCUUCUACAGCAAAUUCCAUUAGCCAUGACUCAAUCCUCGUGAUCUUCUUGUAGUUGAUUUUGAUCUUCAUAUUAGUGUCAGCCCAGAUACCUUGAGUCCAGGGGCAACGUAUAAAGAUGUGCUCAAUCGUCUCCUUUUCCCGUUAUAGAGGGGGCAUAUCGGGUCAGGACCUCUUGUACAAUAAAAAUGUUGUCUUGUAUUGGCCAACCACACACAAAGGCACUUUGUUCUUCAACAAUCAAAUCAGCUUUUCUGGGUCAGAAUCUUUGGAACAAGAGUUAUAUGGGUUCUGUUUAGCCUUGGGUCAAGAAUUCCUGUUGCAAAGAAAGACUGGACAGUGGAGGAUGAAAUGGAGAAAGAUUCAGAAAAUGAAAAAAAGAAAAUGACUGAUUGAUUGUUCCAUAGGCAUAGUACAACGUAUCUGCAAGCCCUCGUGAUUUUUUCAAGAGAGAAGUCUUCGGAGGCAGACAGGAUAAGUACAUUGUCGUGCAUGAUAAUGCAGACAUGUUGUCAGGAAAAACUGAGUGGAUCUCUAUGCAUUAUGUUUAAGGGAAUAAAAGCUAAAUCGAUGGUUCCAAGGGAAUACUUGCACUCUUCUUGAUAAACUCAAGUGCAUUGUGGUCGAGGGAUAGGUUUCCUGGACACAGGAAUGCAGUUUGCAUAUGGAAUCUACUCUGCUUUGAGGAUUUGCUAACUGUCCAUCCGUUGAAAGAAAAGUCAUUCCCUUUGGGAGCAUCAGAUCGCUUGCCACAUUUGAUACAUUUAUCUCAGUAAAGGAAUGAUUCUACCAAAAUUUCUCAAAUAACUGAAGGGUGUAAAAAACCAAGAGGAGAAAUGAAGUAAAAAACAAGCACAAGUAGGCAAUUUAAAGGUGAUCAUUAAAUCAAUCUAGCACGAGCUCCUCCAAAAUCUGUCCAGAUAACAAACACGUGCAAUCCUUGGCCCUACCAUUACACUGUCACGGAUGGCUAGAUAUAAGAGGAGAAAGCAUUUGUCUUUCCGUUGCCAAUGUUUAUGAGGUGGACAAAACUUAUGGUAGAAGAGACUAAUUAGAUGAUACCCGCAGGCAAUUCUACUUUCUUCUAGGAGGAAAUUUUAGUGGCAGAAGCAGAGGGCACAGACUACUGACUAUGUCAUCUCAAUUCUCAAGAGUUUCUUCAACUAAUUUUAGUUCCACCUUCACUUUGCCGGCACUGCGUCUGACCUCUUCUGGCAGCGCCGCUCUCCAGAUUCGGUGUCGAUGGCCCAAUGCAUUCAAGGCUGCUGUUAGCAUAUAGAUCGUCCUUGGCUGUCAUUAGCGGAGUUCAUCAUUGGCAUCGCUUGCCCAUGCCGCGCUCAAGCUCCCGACUUUGCUCAUCUGUUUUUCAUUUGCCUGAGCUCUCAGUUGAUGGCCAUUGGGAUGUUGAGCUCACUGUCAAGGGUCGCAGCCACGGAUGAGCCACCUCACGAGCCAUGGACGAGCAAGGCUUGCGGAUGAGCCAACAUAUUUGUGCACGCGGUCAUGGUCAUGUUGGGAGGUUAGAAAUGAUGCUUCUUUUUCCUUUUUGUAUGAACUCCAUGUGGGGUUAUAUGUGGUCGGGCCUCGAACUCAAUCUAUGCGAGAAUUUCCCCUCCUGCGAUCCUUUCCCGUUUGGAUGUUGCUAAAUUUGGGGACGCGACUGUUAGACGACAUUAGAGUGUGAUGUGGGCAUAUUUUGUCAAUGUUACGAAUUCUUUUCUUUUCUUUUCCUUUUGUCCAUGGUAGCAUCCAUGUCAAUAAAAUGCCCUGACGUCAAUAGACAAUUAUAGCAGCUGGGUUUGGCCAAAUAUGGUGUUGGAAGAUCUUCAUUUGACUAUUUGUGCAAGUAGAAGGUUUUUUGUUAGAAAAAUACAAGUACCGGGAUUUGAUUAGAAAAAGCGUAGAAGCGUGGGACGACAACUGUUUUUUUUUCUUUUCUUUUCUUUUUUUUACUUCUAAUUAAUGACUAUUUCAUUGGAACGCUUUGUUGUUAUUUCAAGAUGGAGCAAACUUUUUUUAUUUUGAUAGAGCUGUAUUUAGCUCUACGAGAUCAUGUAAAUAGACCGCUUGUCCUGAAUAUUUACUUACCACUCAUAACAUGUCACUCUCCUUGAA